CAUGCUUGUCUCAAAGAUUAAGCCAUGCAUGUCUCAGUACUUGCUAUAACAAGGCGAAACCGCGAAUGGCUCAUUAAAUCAGUUAUGGUUCACUAGAUCGUACCGUUUACACGGAUAACUGUGGUAAUUCUAGAGCUAAUACGUGCAACCAGCUCGUUUCCUCGUGAAGCGAGCGCAGUUAUUAGAACAAGACCAAUCCGGCCUUCGGGUCGGUAACUUGGUGACUCUGAAUAACCGAAGCAGAGCGCAUGGUCUCGUACCGGCGCCAGAUCUUUCAAGUGUCUGACUUAUCAGCUUGUUGUUAGGUUAUGUUCCUAACAAGGCUAUUACGGGUGACGGGGUAUCAGGGUCCGAUACCGGAGAGGGAGCCUGAGAAACGGCUACCACAUCCAAGGAAGGCAGCAGGCGCGCAAAUUACCCACUCCCAGCACGGGGAGGUAGUGACGAAAAAUAACGAUGCGAGGGCUUUAUGCCUCUCGCAAUCGGAAUGGGUACACUUUAAAUCCUUAANC
rnacentral:rRNA from 1 species